UCAUGCAUACAUACAUGUUAUAGCAAUAACAAUCCUGUUUACAAUACAAUGACCAAUACAACAUUAUGAUCUAAACCAAAUUUAAAAUAAAAUUAUGACUUACUAAAGUUAACAAAUAAUAAUGUCAAAGGUUGAAACAACAACAACAGAAGAAGAUCACACAAUGCAAAAUAGAACAACAUCAUCAAAUCGCAAUUCACACAACCACUGCGUAAAUGAAUCAAUUACUAACGGAACUAUACACAAAUAAACCACAAAAAUUACACAAAUAAUUGCUAAAGUCUUAACUUAAUAGACACAUUUUUUAAACUUGGAAUGGAAAUUAGUAAAAUCAAAGUUGAUGUAAUCAUAACUGCAACAAGUAAGCAACGUGAUCGGAUCAA
rnacentral:lncRNA from 1 species